GGAUGUGAGGGCGCUCUGGCUGCAACAUCUGUCACCUCUGUGACCACCGGGGUUGAUUCAGCUGAUCUGGCUGGCUAGGCAGGUGUCCCCUUCCUCCCUCCCUCACUGAUCCAGGUGCAGUCCAGGUGCUUUCCUCCCGAAGUUGCACACUUAAUCAAGAGGACGACCUUUUCCCCAGAGAAGAGGACUGGUCUUCGAUCAAGAGUACACAGUAGCUGUGCUCCUCUGCUCAAACCUCCAAACGAGCUCGUCAGGUCCAUUUGUAGGAGAAUAUAGGGCAGUCAAGCUUCCAAGACUUCAGAUACAUCCAAGUGAGGUGCUAAACCCAGCUGGUGUGGCUCAGUGGUU
rfam:Myotis davidii contig174071, whole genome shotgun sequence.